rnacentral:rRNA from 1 species
UGGGGAAUUUUGGACAAUGGGCGAAAGCCUGAUCCAGCAAUGCCGCGUGUGUGAAGAAGGCCUUCGGGUUGUAAAGCACUUUUGUCCGGAAAGAAAUGGCUCUGGUUAAUACCUGGGGUCGAUGACGGUACCGGAAGAAUAAGGACCGGCUAACUACGUGCCAGCAGCCGCGGUAAUACGUAGGGUCCAAGCGUUAAUCGGAAUUACUGGGCGUAAAGCGUGCGCAGGCGGUUGUGCAAGACCGAUGUGAAAUCCCCGAGCUUAAGUGGGGAGUUGCAUGGGUGACUGCACGGCUAGAGUGUGUCAGAGGGGGGUAGAAUUCCACGUGUAGCAGUGAAAUGCGUAGAGAUGUGGAGGAAUACGGAUGGCGAGGGCAGCGCCCUGGGAUAACACUGACGGUCAUGCACGAAAGCGUGGGGAGCAAACAGG